rnacentral:rRNA from 1 species
CGCGAACGCUGGCGGCAGGCCUAACACAUGCAAGUCGAACGAACUCUUCGGAGUUAGUUGCGGACGGGUGAGUAACACGUGGGAACGUGCCUUUAGGUUCGGAAUAACUCAGGGAAACUUGUGCUAAUACCGAAUGUGCCCUUCGGGGGAAAGAUUUAUCGCCUUUCGAGCGGCCCGCGUCUGAUUAGCUAGUUGGUGAGGUAAAGGCUCACCAAGGCGACGAUCAGUAGCUGGUCUGAGAGGAUGAUCAGCCACAUUGGGACUGAGACACGGCCCAAACUCCUACGGGAGGCAGCAGUGGGGAAUCUUGCGCAAUGGGCGAAAGCCUGACGCAGCCAUGCCGCGUGAAUGAUGAAGGUCUUAGGAUUGUAAAAUUCUUUAACCGGGGACGAUAAUGACGGUACCCGGAGAAGAAGCCCCGGCUAACUUCGUG